CUAGAAUGUAAAAUUCACUGCCCAAGACCUAGUUUAGUGAAACAUGGCCUGUGAACCCACAUAAAAACGAAACAAAAAAAAACCAAAACAACAUAUAUAACAAGAUUUUUUUUUUCCUUUCUGUGGUGAAGUCAUUUAAAAUAUUAGAAUCUUAAAGGGGAACUCCACACCUUUUUAUCUUGCAACUAAUCAUUGUUAUAAGCUCUGUCCUUUGCACCUGGCAGUCAGCAUAGAGACAUAUACAGAGAAGAAGAGAAAUUAAACAUUCUUUCUAUUUCUCCUCUUCAUUUGCAAGGUUUGCCCUGACUUUGUCUUGUCUGAACUGGUUUAUGUCAUCAUUAGCUAAAUCAUUAAAAUACAUUUAAAAUAAGAUGGAACAUCUAAUAGAAAACAGGCCAACAAAAUCAUAGGUGAUUUUCAAUGUUUAAUCUAUGGUGUGGAAUUACAGAGAAGAGACGGUUCCCCUUUAACAGCAAGGAAGCAAUAAGCCCACUGCCAGCCCCCACUGGAGUUGAAAACAUUAAUGUCACUGAAAGUAAGGCCCAUCAUGCUUAAACAGAAAUGUAAAGAACUAUCUGGUGCAUUACAACUCAGCAAACUUUUAAAAUCUCUACCCAGUGGCAUCCCUACCAUAGGUAAUACCUACCGGGUUACCGGCAAGAGGGGAGCACUGUGCUGCUUCCCUCCUACCGCUGCAUGUAGCGUGGCUGAGUGGUCUUUCAGGAAGUGCUGACAGAGAGCACUUCCUGUCAGAUGGACAGGAAGUGCUCUCUUUGAGCACUUCCUGAAAGACCGAGGUGAGGAGGUACAGGAGGGGAGGGAGGAGAUACACAAAGAGGU